AGAAUGUGAUCGGCCUCAAAGUUGUAGAAGAAAAAAAGCUUAAUUAAAUAUUCUUUAAUAUUGUAUCAGGUUUCUGGCCGAGUCUUAUUCAAGUCUACUAAUUUAAUAUAUAGUGAAGUCUAUUUUAAUAUAUGAGAUUUUUCUUUCAAGAACAUGCUUCAAUACUCAAGUGUGAGUAUAAUAUAUUCCCCAACCGUGACCCUCCCAUAUAAACCAAAAAAGCCAUAUUCGAAUAGAGAAAAGCACCUGCACUGUUUGAAAAGAGUCAGUCGAAAUAAGACACUCCAUGCUCCUAUGCCUGUGCUUAUUCGCUGAACCACAAUUCACCCAACUUUGCUUUCUUCAGUCACUCAUUUUACACGCGUAUGUAUUCCACUACUAAAGCUAAAGUUUCAAAUAAAUAUUAAAAUAUGAAAGUAACUACAGGUACGUUACCUUAUAAAUAUAUAUAUAUGUAUUGUCCAAUCAAAUUGCACGAGUGAAUUCAACCAGUAGUACUAAGUAAGGUAUUGAUCCAUCCAUGGUGACGAAAUCCAAAAAUCAAAUUGAG
rnacentral:lncRNA from 1 species